rnacentral:rRNA from 1 species
UACGUAGGGUGCAAGCGUUGUCCGGAAUUAUUGGGCGUAAAGAGCUCGUAGGCGGCCUGUCGCGUCGGCUGUGAAAACCCGAGGCUCAACCUCGGGCCUGCAGUCGAUACGGGCAGGCUAGAGUUCGGUAGGGGAGACUGGAACUCCUGGUGUAGCGGUGAAAUGCGCAGAUAUCAGGAGGAACACCGGUGGCGAAGGCGGGUCUCUGGGCCGAAACUGACGCUGAGGAGCGAAAGCGUGGGGAGCGAACAGG